AUUGAACGCUGGCGGCAUGCUUUACACAUGCAAGUCGAACGGUAACAGGUCUUCGGAUGCUGACGAGUGGCGAACGGGCGAGUAAUGCAUCGGAACGUGCCCAGUCGUGGGGGAUAACGCAGCGAAAGCUGUGCUAAUACCGCAUACGAUCUAUGGAUGAAAGCGGGGGACCGUAAGGCCUCGCGCGAUUGGAGCGGCCGAUGUCAGAUUAGCUAGUUGGUGGGGUAAAGGCCCACCAAGGCGACGAUCUGUAGCUGGUCUGAGAGGACGACCAGCCACACUGGGACUGAGACUCGGCCCAGACUCCUACGGGAGGCAGCAGUGGGGAAUUUUGGACAAUGGGCGCAAGCCUGAUCCAGCAAUGCCGCGUGCAGGAAGAAGGCCUUCGGGUUGUAAACUGCUUUUGUACGGAACGAAACGGUCUGGGUUAAUACCCUGGGCUAAUGACGGUACCGUAAGAAUAAGCACCGGCUAACUACGUGCCAGCCGCCGCCGUAA
rnacentral:rRNA from 1 species